rnacentral:rRNA from 1 species
AUUGAACGCUGGCGGCAGGCCUAACACAUGCAAGUCGAGCGGAUGAAGGGAGCUUGCUCCUGGAUUCAGCGGCGGACGGGUGAGUAAUGCCUAGGAACCUGCCUGGUAGUGGGGGAUAACGUCCGGAAACGGGCGCUAAUACCGCAUACGUCCUGAUGGAGAAAGUGGGGGAUCUUCGGACCUCACGCUAUCAGAUGAGCCUAGGUCGGAUUAGCUAGUUGGUGGGGUAAAGGCCUACCAAGGCGACGAUCCGUAACUGGUCUGAGAGGAUGAUCAGUCACACUGGAACUGAGACACGGUCCAGACUCCUACGGGAGGCAGCAGUGGGGAAUAUUGGACAAAGGGCGAAAGCCUGAUCCAGCCAUGCCGCGUGUGUGAAGAAGGUCUUCGGAUUGUAAAGCACUUUAAGUUGGGAGGAAGGGCAGUAAGUUAAUACCUUGCUGUUUUGACGUUACCAACAGAAUAAGCACCGGCUAACUUCGUG